CGGCCGCCCUCCCGCCCCGCCGGUCACGUGUUCCUUCGCGCGGGCGGGCGGGCGCCGGACCCGGAAGUCGCGGUGGCUGCGGAGGCGCCGGGCGGGAUGGGGGAGUCGAUCCCGCUGGGAGCGCCGGUGCCCGUGGAGCAGGCCGUGCUGGAGACCUUCUUCUCCCACCUGGGCAUCUUCUCCUACGACAAGGCCAAGGACAAUGUGGAGAAGGAGCGGGAGGCCAACAAGAGCGCGGGGUCCAGCUGGCUGGCGCUGCUGGCCGGGCUGGCGCACCUGGCGGCGGCCGAGAAGGCCUAUCACAGCAUGACCUUCCUGGGACAGAAGCUAGGUGGUCAGUCAUUCUUCAGCCGAAAGGACUCCAUCCGAACCAUCUACACAUCUCUGCACAAUGAGCUGAAGAAGGUGGUGGCGACGGGUCACAAUGCACUAGGAGGAACAGCUCCUCACUUGGAAGAGCUGCUUUCUCACCUGUCUGAACAGCUCUGUUUUUUUGUUCAGGCUCGGAUGGAAAUUGCUGACUUCUAUGAAAAAAUGUACACGCUCAGCACCCAAAAGUUCAUUAACUCUGAGGAACUGGUAAACAUUUUGGAAUCCAUCUUAAAGAAAUACAGUUCAAGAUUUCAUCACCCAAUCCUCAGUCCUCUUGAAAGCAGUUUCCAGCUGGAGGUAGAUGUGCUUGCACACCUCUUAAAGGCUCAGGCUCAGAUCUCAGAGUGGAAGUUCCUUCCAUCCCUGGUCAACUUGCACAGUGCUCACACAAAGCUACAGACUUGGGGCCAAAUUUUUGAGAAGCAGCGGGAGACCAAGAAGCACCUGUUUGGAGGGCAGUCUCAGAAGGCUGUGCAACCUCCACACCUCUUCCUCUGGCUGAUGAAGCUAAAAAACAUUCUCCUUGCCAAGUUUAGUUUUUACUUUCAUGAGGCCCUUAGUCGACAGACAACAGCGUCCGAAAUGAAAACUUUGACUGCUAAAACAAAUCCUGAUUACUUUGGGAAAAUUUCCAGCUUCAUCCGGAAAUAUGAUGCUGUCAAUGUUUCCUUAAUUUUUGACAAUCGUGGGUCAGAGAGUUUUCAGGGACAUGGUUAUCAUCAUCCGCAUUCAUACAGGGAAGCCCCCAAAGGAGUGGAUCAGUAUCCUGCAGUGGUGUCUCUGCCCAGUGACAGGCCUGUUAUGCACUGGCCCAAUGUGAUCAUGAUUAUGACUGAUAGAACCUCUGACCUCAACAGUUUGGAGAAGGUUGUUCACUUCUACGAUGACAAAGUCCAAAGCACCUACUUUCUGACUCGCCCCGAACCUCACUUUACCAUUGUAGUUAUUUUUGAGUCCAAGAAGUCAGAAAGGGACUAUCAUUUCAUUUCUUUUCUCAAUGAAAUUUCACAUUCCCUUAAGAACUCCAAAGCUUUUGCAAGCUUGAAACCUGGAUCCAAAGGCCAAGCAAGAGAUGACAGGCUCUCGGUGCUCUGCCAUGAGUGGACUGCAGUACACUGCUUGUCAAAAUGCAAAGUCCAGGAGGGAGGAGAAGUUGGUAUCCACGCGAAGGAUGCUCAUGAAUGGAUUUCGAUGGUGGAAAACACAUGCACUGCAUCAAAGAUGAUUUCAACAUUGGAUAUUUUGCCCCUUUUAGUCUUCCUAAAUAUGAAAAUACAUGUAUAUUCAUAAAACACUUGAGGAGUGUUAUCCCUGUUUGGUGGGUCUGUCAGCUUAGGAAAGAUAUUAGGGAAGUUUGCAAGAGCCUUGGGAGUGGGAAACACCCGCCCUCCAGAUUUGGAGUAGGGGUGUGAAACCUGUUUGCAUGUGUGUGUUCAUAUGUGUGUGUAAUGGAGACUGGAAACAGAAACCAAGAGAUAUUGCUUUAUCCUUGCAGAGACCCAGAAGUUGUUGGUUGCACAAUAAAUGGGAGAAAUGAAAAAUGAUGUUGUAGCAGUAUAAUCAAGUGGCUUCUAAAAAAAAUAAAUAUGGGGAUAAUUUUUCUAUGAAACACUCUAAGAUCUCACCAAGGGACACUUGAUGUUAUCAGAUACAUUUAAAAGGAAGAAGUCUCAAACUGAUCAUGUUUCUGAAAGGUCAGUGGCUGCAGGACAUUUGCAAACCAUGAAUGAUUAACAGAUGGAGUUUAAAAGGCAGCGAGUUUCCAUCCCUUCCUGUGGUGCUCACAGCUGAAGGAAACACACAGGAAGGAUCUUUAGGCCCUGCUGCUUCCUUUCCCUGCACACCCUGACCCAGCAGCGAGGACACCCUGCGCAAAGCAUCUCCCAGCACUUGGGUACGUGAGAGUGAGUUGGACCCAGCUCAUCGCCUCUUUGCCUGUAUCUUUUGUCCCAUAUUUUUGGCACUCUAACACAGAGUCAUCUUCUGCCCAGUUUAAGAUCAUUCUGCACUCAGGUCCUUCCCCUGUCAAACUCUGCCCUGCUGGAGUGGGACAGCAGAGGUGCUGGGCAGCAUUUCCAGAGAUAGGAGUGAAUUCCAACAGCCCUGGAGAGAAGAGCACCGCUCCCACUUCAGCGCUAUCUCGACAGAAGUUAUGAACAAACCUCAUUAUCCCUGACUCUUACUUAGACAAGCAACACUGGGAAAUAUUCUGCACAUAAGCCUAACCUCAGAGUGAUUUGUAUUUCCAGAACUGCAGCAUCCAAUUCCAUGAGCAUUUCUGCCACAUACAAAGGGUUUUUUUCCCCUCUUGAUGUGUUUUAUUUGAUACUGGAAUCCCUCCUUUAGUCAGAUGAUGACUGCUGCCAGUGCUUUGAAAAGUGGAAACAGUGGGGAAACUGAGCCACUGCAGGCACUGGAGAUGUUUGUGUUGGUGUUAGCAAAGAGAGUAAAGAGCCUCAGGAAUGAUGUGUGGCAUUCAGUAGCCUUGUAGGAAUGGCACAGGUGACAUAUUUACCUCCAGUCCUCCUCCAGGGGAGCAAGGUGUGGACUGUCUCCUACUGCAUUUGAGUGCUGCUUUACCUUGACCAUGACACAUGGGAUUCAGAGUGUGUUAGAGGACUUGGAUAGAUUUGAAUGCUCUCACACUUAGUCUCAUUCAGGUGAGCAGAGGGGAAAAUGUGCCACUGAUGUUGUGGUGGCCAGGGGUGAGUCCUGGAGGUCACAGUGCAGGGACCAGGGUAGUGCUGCCACCCUGCAUGGACAUAUUCAAAUGGGGCUCCUUCCGCAGCUGAUGUCUGGGGCAGAUGCUGCUAAAUUUGUAAGGCCUGAGCAAAUAUCUUUGUUUUUUUCCACCAAGAAAAGGAAACACUGGGAAAAGUUAAAUUAUCUUCAGGAACUGCCUUCCCAUUGAUUUUAUUAACUAAGAAUGAAAAGCACAUGAAGCGUAACUGAAUUAUUCUGUGACUAGUGUUACUAAUAGAUCUCUAGAAGAAUUGAGUUUGCUUUGAGGUAAUAAUAAAUGCACCUGGUACUGGAGAUGGAACUGUAGUGCACACAGAAAUGGCAUUGAGAUGCUGGAGCCUGCUGGUGUGCCUAUAUAGCAGGAAAAAAGUUAAAACACUGAAAUGCAAAACACACAAACUGAUGGUAUGGAAAGAGAAUAUCAAGUUAUUUCUGUAGAGGCCAAACCAGGGACCCAAUAUUACCACACAGGUACGGAAGAAACUCAAAUUUUUACAUAAAAGCUUGUAAAUCAGCUGCUGCUCCACUGAACGUGCACAUUUUCAUGGGCACAACUCACGGAUGUACAUGGAUACAAAUGGCAUUUAGGCCUACAGUACGUAAGAAAUUAUAUUAGUUCUGAAUGUCCAGGGUUUGACAAAGUUAAUUUUUAAUACUGGGAGAAUUUUGAAGGUCUGAGGUGUAGUGACAGCAUUGCCCAGGGUCUGGUUGGAGAAAGCUGGGCAGAACCUGCUGUGCUGCCAGCCUGGGGGCAGGAGAAGGGUGGUCCUGUGAGGAUGUGAAAAUGGGGGUCCCUCCAAUCAGGGUGCCUGGUGUUCCCCACGUUCUGCACAGGGAUGCAGGGCUUUCCCCCUCCAAAACAGAUCCCAUUACCUUGUUUUCUUAACCAGAAAUAAAACAUGCAGCAGGAAUUUUGCAAUGUACCAGGUCAUUCAAGAAAUGGCUUUCAAGAAAUGAUACAUGCAUACAUACAUAUUUAUUUGGUUUUAGUUUGUAAUUUUGGGACAGGUACAGAGAAGGGUUCAGAAUUGCUUUAUGAUUUAACAGCCCCUGAUUAGCCACAUUUCUAUCUCUGAUUGUAACAUUGUAUAUAAACUGAUUUGUUCAGAAUAACUUUGACUUAAUCAUAAAGUAAGCCUUGUGAUGUGUAUGACAAAUUUAAAAAUUAUCUUCACACCAGGUCUGAAAUUAAUUUUUAACAUAUUUUUGUAGUAGUUUUGUAGUAGAUUUCAGCUUUUCAGCUUUAAAAAAAUUAAUAGCUGAGAAAACUGUCCAGGUGAAGUUCAGCUUAAACCCGUGAGUAUUGAUGGAAAACCCUGCUGUGUUCACCUUGGUGCUGCUUGCCAGGGUGCUGGGGUGCUGCUGUAAUGUCUGUCUCAGAAAAGAUUGUAGGCAGGUAAAAACCCAAUUAAAAUAUGUGUUGCAAUGAGUUGUUUCAAGGUACUCAGCAGUUCUAGGCUGAAGUCAUGAAGGAUUUUAGGCGUUUUCCACCUUUAACAUAUUGAAAUUCUCUAUUCAUGACUCUGGUACAAACAUCCAUAUUAAUGCCAUUUCUUUGCAAUCAAAAACUCACUGCCAGAAGCCUGACCAUUUCAAUGAGUGUCUCAUUCACCUCCAGAGGAGUGCUGGGCUCAGCGAUUUGUCCCUCCUGGAGCGUAAUUCAUUCAAAUAAAUGUAAAUCACUAUUUUAUGUUGUUUGGUCAGGGUUUAUAGAUGUCAAUGUACACUACUGAAAAGGCACAUGGCAGAUAUUAAGGGAGGAAUCAAUGUGCUUCACAGAGAUGAGAAUGGGCAGGGGUUGGUUUUGGUUUAUCCACGGUGCUGCAGUCAGUGCAGCUAUUAUUGAUUUUGAUCCCACAAGUGUUUGACCUCCUUUGUACAGCACAACUUGUCUAUAUUUCACAGCUGAAUUUUUUUUUGCCUUGUACUUCAUGUUCAUAUUCCAUUAGUAUGCUACUUGAAAAAAAUAAAUCGAUGCAGCUUGCUAAUUAAAAAAAGGGAAAUUCCUCAACCUCCAACCCUGAAUCAUUAAGCUGCUCUCCUGUGUCUGCGGUGACCAGUGUGGCCUGACCCUGCUGGGAGAUGGCAGUGACACAACUGGGGAUCACAGAAUCAUAGAGCAUUUUAGGUUGGAAAAGACCUUUCAGAUCAUCGAGUCCAAUUGCCAAUCCAGCACUGCCAUGUCCACCCCCAAACCACAUCUCCAAAUGCCACAUCUAUAUGGCUUUUAAAUACCUCCAGGGAUGGUGACUCAGCCACUUCCCUGGGCAGCCUUUUCCUGUGCUUCACAGCAUUUUCAGUGAAGAAAUUUUUCUAACAUCCAGUCCAAACCUCCUGUGAUUCAUCUUGAGGCCAUUUCCUCUUGGCUUAUCUCUUCUUACUCAGGAGAAGAGACAGACAUGGGGCACACUACUUGGGCAGGUGUGGGGCAGAGGCUCAGCUGACUGCAGAGUUACAGUAAAACGUAUAUUCCUCCAUUUUUAAUUUGCACAUAUAUAUUGAGAAUGGUAAGAGAAAGCCUGCUCAUCAGCCAGACCCAGAUCAUGUCAUUUGACUCUAAUCCCCCAGCCAGCAUCAAGUUGUGCAUGCCUCCUUCCAGCUUGGGCCUGCCAUCUCUCAGUGGACCUGCUGUGCAAGCUGGUAAGGGAAUACAGAGCUCUUCUCCCCCUGGGCUCCAUCCAGCUUAGUGCCACUGCACAAGUUCUGUUCUCCCUCCUGCUCUCUCUGAGGCCUGCCAUUUUCUGUUUUCCUUUCCACCGGUUUUAGCCCUGCUGAUGAGUGGGAUUGGCCGGCUGAGAGGAACCAAACACUGUGCCAGGGCCACAGCCCUGCUGGGGCUGGGGGGAGCUGGGUGUCCAGUGGGGCUGAGUGCCAGGAAAGGCUGAGGGGCGCCAGGACCUGGGGAUGGGGCCGAGGCUGCUCCAGUCCAGGGGAGCUGCAGCACUGCGGUGCAGAGUGAGCGACACCUCCGAGCCAUAAGGGCUCCCUGGCAGGAUAAACUUGCUCUGGCUGGGUCUGCUGGAGCCAGAGUGCUGGCAGAGACUGGUGCUG